rnacentral:rRNA from 1 species
UACGUAGGUGACCAGCGUUGUCCGGAAUUACUGGGCGUAAAGCGCACGUAGGCGGCUAUUCAAGUCGGGGGUGAAAGCCCGGGGCUCAACCCCGGAACUGCCCUCGAAACUAGAUAGCUAGAAUCUUGGAGAGGUCAGUGGAAUUCCGAGUGUAGAGGUGAAAUUCGUAGAUAUUCGGAAGAACACCAGUGGCGAAGGCGACUGACUGGACAAGUAUUGACGCUGAGGUGCGAAAGCGUGGGGAGCAAACAGG